rnacentral:misc_RNA from 1 species
AUCAAGGCAUCACAAAGGAAGCACUUGAUUCCUUGAUAAACUACCAUGAACUAUUAAAAUGGCCAUCAGUUAUUCCUCGACGUUGCAAUGAUUAGUCUUGACUCCUUUCGCGAAACCUUUCAUUGAAUCAUCUAUUAGUCUUGCUAGGAUUUCCCAAUGCACAUACCAACAUAGAGAUGGACAUGGAGCUCCUGAUAGCAGAUCAAAG